rnacentral:rRNA from 1 species
AGUGAACGCUGGCGGUAGGCCUAACACAUGCAAGUCGAACGGCAGCACAGUAAGAGCUUGCUCUUACGGGUGGCGAGUGGCGGACGGGUGAGGAAUACAUCGGAAUCUACUUUUUCGUGGGGGAUAACGUAGGGAAACUUACGCUAAUACCGCAUACGACCUACGGGUGAAAGCAGGGGAUCUUCGGACCUUGCGCGAUUGAAUUAGCCGGUGUCGGGUUAGCUAGUUGGCGGGGUAAAGGCCCACCAAGGCGACGAUCCGUAGCUGGUCUGAGAGGAUGAUCAGCCACACUGGAACUGAGACACGGUCCAGACUCCUACGGGAGGCAGCAGUGGGGAAUAUUGGACAAUGGGCGCAAGCCUGAUCCAGCCAUACCGCGUGAGUGAAGAAGGCCUUCGGGUUGUAAAGCCCUUUUGUUGGGAAAGAAAAGCAGCAGGUUAAUACCCCGCUGUUCUGACGGUACCCAAAGAAUAAGCACCGGCUAACUUCGUG